rnacentral:sRNA from 1 species
CUUUUCGAGGUGGGAGUCUACUGAGGUGAGGUAUGGUGCUGGGUGCAGAUGCAAUGUGGCUCUGGAUAGCACCUUAUGGACAGUUGUGUCCCAAAGGAAGGAUGAGAAUAGCUACUGAAGUCCUAAAGAGCAAGCCUAACUCAAGCCAUUGGCACACCGGCAUUAGACAGAAAACUGGAAGUUGAAAUGGUGGAGUCCAACUUGUCUGGACCAGCUUAAUGGUUCUGCUCCUGGUAACGUUUUUAUCCACGGAUGGCUUGCUUGGGUAAGGACGUGAAGACAGUUCCUGUCAUACCUUUUUUAAAGGUACAUAUUUUGUUGAUGUUAAUGUGAAUUGAUUGAGCUACUGUUAGUGAUGAUUUUAAAAUUAAAACAGAUGGGAAUCUCUCUGAGAAAGAAAAUGGAGAUUAAUCUUAAACUGAAACAGUAGUUGGGAAAUCUUUUAGAAAUCCACCUAUUACUAUCUAUUGGUAAAGGAGAUUAUAAAUUUCUGCAGGUAUGGAGAGUCGGCUUGACUACACUGUGUGGAGCAAGUUUUAAAGAAGCAAAGGACUCAGAAUUCAUGCUUGAAGAAAUGCAGGCAGACCUGUUAUCCUAAACUAGGGUUUUUAAUGACCACGACAAGCAAGCAUGCAGCUUACUGCUUGAAAGGGUCUUGCCUCACCCAAGCUGGAGUGCAGUGGCCUCUGAAGCUUACUACAGCCUCAAACUUCUGGGCUCAAGUGAUCCUCAGCCUCCCAAUGGUCUUUGUAGACUGCCUGAUGGAGUCUCAUGGCACAAGAAGAUUAAAACAAUGCUCCAAUUUUAAUAAAUUUUUGCAAUCCA